AUAAUGAUGAUGAUGAUGAUGAUGAUAUGCUGAUGCUGGGUGAUUUCCUGUUUUCAAGCGGUGUGAUACCUUAAGAAUUCUAUGGUUUGUAGGCGUUGGAGCUAUUUUUAUCGCUGAUCAAUAGAAUGGUUUAAGGCACCUACCACGCAUAUUGUUAUUGCAAUUGUAACAUUAUAGAAAUAAUCUGUUAUAGUUUCGUGGCUAGGCACGUCAUCGCCAAGCACUAAGAAACGAUACUUUUCAUUUAUAAAGUAUUAAUACAGGACCCUGACACACUCAGUUGUAAAAGGAAACGCCGUCAAUUCGUGUCGAGACAAAYAUCAAGGAAGCAUGACGAAUAAAUUCUUCUCUCUCCUCCUGGUYUUCACGUGUCUAACAUUGAUAACCGCUGUACAGUUUGAGCAGACGAUCAARUGCAUUGAAUCUUGCCAGUCAUCUGUAGGCUGCCUUGAGAGAUGUGGCACCAUAAAGUGCUUUGAGAAAUGCGAGCGAAUAAGCCACGAUUGCUACUUGUUUGCCAAAUGUAAAGACGAAACAUCCUCGAGYMAUUUGUGCCAGCGGUGUGAUCGCUUUCUUUUACAGUGUCUGAAAAAAUGUCCUUARCCGAACACCUCAUWGUGGAAUUGCAGAACUAUUUGAAUGAUCUAGGAAAUAUUUAAACGCGUAGCCGAAACGAAYCGUUCUCGGCUACGGCKCGGUUCCAUGUCGAUGAUAAAAGAAUGGUAGACUACUGUAAUCAUUGAUUGUUGAGUUAUCUGUUGAUCAGUUAUUAAUCAGAUAAAUAUGAUGAAUUAUAGAAAUAUACCAACAAUUGYAAUAAAUGAGAAAGUACUUGAAAA